rnacentral:rRNA from 1 species
AGUGAACGCUGGCGGUAGGCCUAACACAUGCAAGUCGAACGGCAGCACAGUAAGAGCUUGCUCUUACGGGUGGCGAGUGGCGGACGGGUGAGGAAUACAUCGGAAUCUACUUUUUCGUGGGGGAUAACGUAGGGAAACUUACGCUAAUACCGCAUACGACCUACGGGUGAAAGCAGGGGAUCUUCGGACCUUGCGCGAUUGAAUGAGCCGAUGUCGGAUUAGCUAGUUGGCGGGGUAAAGGCCCACCAAGGCGACGAUCCGUAGCGGGUCUGAGAGGAUGAUCAGCCACACUGGAACUGAGACACGGUCCAGACUCCUACGGGAGGCAGCAGUGGGGAAUAUUGGACAAAGGGCGCAAGCCUGAUCCAGCCAUACCGCGUGGGUGAAGAAGGCCUUCGGGUUGUAAAGCCCUUUUGUUGGGAAAGAAAAGCAGCAGGUUAAUACCCCGCUGUUCUGACGGUACCCAAAGAAUAAGCACCGGCUAACUUCGUG